ACUUUAGAUAUGAUCCAGAGUACCACGGGACACGUGAAACCCUGUGGGAAGCAGGAGGGACCACCCUCCAAGGCUAAAUACUACCUAGUGACCGAUAGCGUAUAGUACCGUGAGGGAAAGGUGAAAAGAACCCCGGGAGGGGAGUGAAAUAGAACCUGAAACCCUGCACUUACAAGCUGUGGAAGCACAUUUCUUGUGUGACCGCGUACUUUUUGUAGAACGGGCCAACGAGUUACGUUAAGUAGCAAG
rnacentral:rRNA from 1 species